CUCAGGAGUUCGAGGGUGCAGUGAGCUAUGAUUGCACCCCUGCAUUUCAGCCUGGGGAACAGAGUGAGACCCUGUCUGAAAAAUUUUUUAUUAAAACAUUAAUUUCAAAAAAAGUGGCCAGAAGCUGGGACUUUCCAUAUGAGUAUUAAAUUUAAGCAUCAGUAUAUUACUUGAAAGCAGGAUUAACAAAAGCAUUUCCAAACUGUCCCCCAAAUUAAUUUAGACAGGAAUAUUAAUCUAUUCCUCUACUCUAACCUGGGUUUUAAUAGUUAAUAUACUGGAACUUUAAUUGUCUGAUAAAAUGUCUCUUAAAACCCUGUCCAUACCUUAAGCCUUAUUGAGCAGGUUAACCUCAAUUUUACAAUGAUCUUAGCCACUAAAUCUUCUCCAGUGGUGAUUAUUCAGUAAAUGUUAAAUGGAUUAUGUACAAAGAUGAAGAUACCAAGAUAAAUAAAAGACUUCCCUACAGCCUCCAUCUAUUUAAGGACCAUCUGCAGGUUCUCUGCUUAUUCCACUAUCAUCACCUCUCUAUUGAUUGACCUUGCUUCUUUCUCUCCCUUACUGCCUGGUAUUCAUGCAUUUUAAAUAAAACUAGGUUUUGUGUGCCACAACUUUUUUAUCAUGAACUGGAGUCCCUGGAAAGGAAGUUUUGUAAUUGCUGAGGUAAAUGCUGAGGUACUUAGCUUAGUUUUCAAAAUAUAAUAUUUCAGCUUAUUGGAAGUAGAUCUAUUUCACCAUCCAAGAACUGACAGAUUAUAGUCCUGUAAUUGUACUUAUAUUUUAUUUAAAGAAGCAAGAUCUAUUUUUAAAAAUAGCCCUGUGGUCAAAAUAGGGCAUAGUUGGAAAAAGCCACAUAAUAAAUAUUAACUGUGAAAUCCCAUGAAAUAACUGAUUUUAUGAGAAAGAAAUGUGUUGUUUCUAGCAACCUCUCUCUCAAUUGUUUAACUUCAUUUUCAGAAAGUCUCUCACAUUAGUGUAUCAUAGAUGCUUGUAACUGGGCCUAGAUUUCUCAUACGAUAAAAUUAUUAUAAUUUGAUCACACUAAUUUAGGAUUUACAGCAUUACCACCAAACCAAUUAGUUUUUGCAUAGUAACUACAGAAAGCAUUUCUCAGGGAAUGUAAAGUGUAAACACAUAAAAGGGAAAAACAUUUAAACUAUUUUAAAGGAACAAAUGGUACUUAAGAACAUUCAUAGAAUGUACAUGUUUACUAAUCACAAGAAAAUCUCAAGAUUUGAUGAAGAUUUCCCCAGCAGUAUUUCACUUGGCAUUUUGUGUGUACUAGAAAGGGCAAAACAUUCAAUUACAAAUAUGUGUCACUGAACCAAACCUCUCCUAUUGAGUUUGCCUGAAUAACUGACAUUUUGUUGUACUACAGUUUUUUUUUGUUUGUUUUUGGUUUGGUUUGGUUUGGUUUUUUCUUGAGACGGGGUCUCACUCUGUUACCCAGAUUGGAGUGCAGUAGCACUCUCUCAGCUCACUACAACCUCUGCCUCCCAGGCUCAGGUGAUCCUCCUCGUUUGGCCUCCCAAGGAGCUGGGACUAUAGGUGUGUACCACCAUGUGUGGCUAAUUUUUUGUGGUUUUGGUAGAGACAGGUUUUCAUCGCGUUGUCCAGGCUGGUCUCGAACUCCUGAGCUCAAACAAUCCACUCACCUCGGCCUCCCAAAUUGCUGGGACUACAGACAUGAGCCACUGCACCCAGCCCCUUUGUUGUACUAUAGUCUUUUAUUAACUUACUAAAACUAAAAUUGCAUUGAAAAGUCUGAGGACUCAUAGUCAUGAUGCUACAUAGGUGUUUUGUUCCUGAAGAAUCAACUAGAAGCUCAUUAACAAAGAAAAUGUGGCCUGCGUUCUGCCAUUUACUCCACGAUAGCCUACGGAGCCCUGUGAUAUCCCAGCCAUUUCCUUUCCAACUUCAUGUCUCCCACCAUUCCUACCCCUUUUGGCUUGUGCUGUCCUCCAGCCACACAGGAUUUCCUGCAAAUGCUCCAUGGCAGUAGGGCCUCUACUUGCUCCUCCCUCUGCAUGGAAUGCCUCCUGCUUACCCCAAACCCUCUAGGACACUGAGCCAUGACUGGCUCUUUUUUACCAUCGUCCUUUCCUCCUUCAGGGUGCCUUCUUAGAGAGGCCUUCUCUGACUCCCCUAAACAUAUCAUGUCCAUACACACACGCCAAGCAACCACUCUCGCCCGUCACUCUGCUUUAAGUUCCCCCUAGUGCUUAAAGCGACUUGAGGUGUACUUAUUUGUCUCCAUUAAAAUGUAAGGCUCCAAAAGACAGGACUCAUGUCUUGUUUUUCUCUUAUUUCCCCAGGGCCUAGCUCAUUAGGCAGUCAGUAAAUAUUUGUUGAGUAAAUUAGGAAAUCAUUUUACCCUUCAGGGUCUGCUCGCAUAUCUCCUCUGUAAUUUUCCGAGGCAGAAUUAAUCACUCUGAUAUAUUUAUUGCCUGAGCACUUUGUAUAUAUUGCUGUCAUGGUGCAAUGUAUAGAAGAUUGAGUUGAGCCUGGCAGGUCCAUCUGUUUUCUCUUGAUUAUAAACUCUGACAAUAGGGCAUUCUUAUUGCUAAUAUUUAUACUACACUAGUCCUGACACAAAAUAGACACCCUCUUAAUUUUUUUAUAGUUAUAUAAAAUAUUUAUUCACCCAACAAAUAUUAAUGUGUGGCAGGCACUGAUCACAGUGAUAAAAGAGUAAUCAGUACUGUGGCUCUGUCCUCAUGAAGGUGUAGAUUCUUCCCAUUCUCUGAAUUCAGACCGGUAAACCUACAGGCAUUUUUAUAAUAGAAAAGGGUAGGAUGGACGGUUGGGUAGAUGGUAAGACCCUUUUUAAAAAGAGGGACCAUCUAUGACUCAGUUUCGUUUUUCAUAUUGCAGCCCUUCUCAUCGAUGGGAAUUGUAAUCUGCCUCACUACCAUCUUAGGUUUUCUUACUGAGUUGAGACUAGGCAAAGAAGAACAGAAAAAAGUGUUCUGGACUGAGAGAAUACAUAUACAGAUUCAUUCUUGUGAGAGAGAGCAUGGCAAGUAUGAGAAACUGGAAAAUGUCCUACAGGACCCAGUUUCAUGGAGCCAAGGGGAUCGUGGCAUGUGAUGAGUCUGGAGAGCUAGCUAGGCAGAAGCUGGACCUCAGGACAUGCACGCCACGCGAAGGAGUUUGGAGGUUAUCUAAGAGCAGUGGGAAGCUGUGGAAGGGUUUAGGAAAGGGGACAACAGAUCCAAUUUAUAUAAUACAAAAGAGCCUUCCAGCUGCAAUAUAGGCAAAAUAGAUCCCAGCAAACCACUGAAGAGGCCAUUGCAAUAGAGCAAGAAAGGUAGCUUUAAUUUUCUGUAGAUGAGAGAAAAAGGCAAAGUCUAGAAAUGCUUAGAAUUUAGUAUUUAAAAUCAACUAUGGUGACAUGUUAGCUAAACGGAAGAGAAGGGAGGAAGGGAAUGGCCAAGAGGAUUGUUCUCUCCUGUUCAGAGGUAUGAUCAUAGCAUUCACUGAGACACCUGUCACUGGCAUAGUGAGAAUCUGAUUUAGGAAGGAAAAUAGGAGUCUGGCUUUGGUCAUGUUGAAUUUGAGGUACCUUUGAGACAUCAAAGGGGAGAUAAUAGAUAAGCAGCUGGUUGAAGAGAUCCAAAAGAGAAAAAAAUUGUGAAUCAUAAGCUGUAGGUGAUAUUUAAGCCUUGGGUACAGAUCAUGCAAGGUGAGAGUGUGCAGUAAAAAGAGGAAAGGUCUCAAGAUCAAGCCUUGAGAAACCCAGCAUCCAGUGGACCAGGUAAAAGAAGGCUGCCUAUUAGAGGAGAUGGAAGACACAGCCAGAGAUAGAUAGGAAGAAAGCCAGGACAGUGUUUUGUCAUGGGAGCCAAGAGAAAAAUAGUAUGUAAACAAGGAAGAAGUAGCUAAGUGUGUCAAACACUGCUACGAGAGUGGUCCAGAAGAAAGCAUUGAAAAAUAUCACUGGAUUUUGUGAUUUGUCGUAAAAGGAGAGGACAAACAUCAGAUGGAGGUGCAGAAUGUGAAUGGAAGGAAAGGAAAUGUGAACAUUCAUUCUAUAUACCUAGGGGACCAAUGUGAUGGAGACAGAAACGUAAACAGCUAACAGUGGAUUAAGCAUGCUAUGUAUACCAUGCUGUGAAGUAGGGAUGGGGCAGCCAUCAAGCCUACCCUGGAAGGAGCAGGGGAGGCCAGGGCAGGCUUUGCAAAAGAAUUGGUGCUUUAUUGGGACCCAUCAUGUAUGGAGUGAGGGAUGAGAAUAAAUUUGUCAGGGAGAGGAAGAGAGAGGGUGUCCUGAGCAAAGACAGUACACAUGCAAAGGCAUGAGACGUGGGAGUAGCUGUCUUAUUUACCGAUUACAGACUGUUUGAUUUGGAGCCCAGAUUGCCUUUGAAGCCAUGACAGGAAAUUAAUCUUGAAAAGGAAUCAGGGGCCCAAUCAUAAAACACUGGGUGUUGUAGUGAAGUAUUUGUAGUUUACCAAUGUUUCUCAGCUUACCUUUGGGAAUAUUCUUAAUGGCAGGAAACUAAGUGAGGACCCUUUAUAAUGCAAACACAAACAUUUUUUUCACAUUUCGUGUUUUAAAAAUUUAAUGAACUUUACAUUCUAGUCCAUAUUUGCUUGUCUUUUUAUAGUGAAAGUAUCUUAGGUUAUUUUCCAUUGGGUAAAAAUGACUCUAGGGAUAUGAACCUCACUGAUUCUGUGGCUCUGGGGAGCUCUUUCCCAUGACUAUAUGCAUCCUCACCCCACAUGUCCCCACUCACAACUCUGGAGAGGACUUAGGGUAGAAGUUAUCAGUAUCUAAGUGGCAGCUGAAGCUUUGGAAGUACAUGAAAUUGCUCAAAAAUAGAAUGCAGAGUGGUGGGGGAAGAGGGCCAUGCAGCAAGAGAUCCUGAACACCACAAAUAUCUAAAAGGACAACAGAAGGAAAACAUAGAGGAAGUAGUAAGGGAUCUGUAGAAACAAGAGAAGAGAUCCAAGGUGGAGAAAACGGGGAGGAAUUUC